UACGUAGGGGGCAAGCGUUGUCCGGAUUUAUUGGGCGUAAAGAGCGUGUAGGCGGCCAGGUAGGUCAGCUGUGAAAACUCGAGGCUCAACCUCGAGACGUCGGUUGAAACCACCUGGCUAGAGUCCGGAAGAGGAGAGUGGAAUUCCUGGUGUAGCGGUGAAAUGCGCAGAUAUCAGGAGGAACACCAAUGGCGAAGGCAGCUCGCUGGAACGGUACUGACGCUGAGGCGCGAAAGCGUGGGGAGCGAACAGG
rnacentral:rRNA from 1 species